rnacentral:rRNA from 1 species
UACGAAGGGGGCUAGCGUUGUUCGGAAUUACUGGGCGUAAAGCGCACGUAGGCGGAUAUUUAAGUCAGGGGUGAAAUCCCAGAGCUCAACUCUGGAACUGCCUUUGAUACUGGGUAUCUUGAGUAUGGAAGAGGUAAAUGGAAUUGCGAGUGUAAGAGGUGAAAUUCGUAGAUAUUCGCAGGAACACCAGUGGCGAAGGCGGCUUACUGGUCCAUAACUGACGCUGGAGGUGCGAAAGCGUGGGGAGCAAACAGG